rnacentral:rRNA from 1 species
AUGAUGGGAAUUUAAACCNCUUCCAGAGUAUCAAUUGGAGGGCAAGUCUGGUGCCAGCAGCCGCGGUAAUUCCAGCUCCAAUAGCGUAUAUUAAAAUUGUUGCAGUUAAAAAGCUCGUAGUUGAAUUUCUGCUGCAUUGCUUUUGCUCCUUUACGAGUCUUUGCAUUGUGGCUUAUUUCGGACUUUGUUUUACAAUGUCCGGAUGUUUACUUUGAGAAAAUUAGAGUGCUCAAAGCAGGCUUUCGCCUUGAAUAGUUUAGCAUGGAAUAAUAAAGUAGGACUUUGGUUCUAUUUUGUUGGUUUUAGGUACCAAAGUAAUGGUUAAUAGGAACAGUUGGGGGCAUUCGUAUUUAACUGUCAGAGGUGAAAUUCUUAG